GACGAACGCUGGCGGUGUGCUUAACACAUGCAAGUCGAACGGAAAGGCCCUGCUUUUGUGGGGUGCUCGAGUGGCGAACGGGCGAGUAACACGUGAGUAACCUGCCCUUGACUUUGGGAUAACUUCAGGAAACUGGGGCUAAUACCGGAUAGGAGCUCCUGCUGCAUGGUGGGGGUUGGAAAGUUUCGGCGGUUGGGGAUGGACUCGCGGCUUAUCAGCUUGUUGGUGGGGUAGUGGCUUACCAAGGCUUUGACGGGUAGCCGGCCUGAGAGGGUGACCGGCCACAUUGGGACUGAGAUACGGCCCAGACUCCUACGGGAGGCAGCAGUGGGGAAUAUUGCACAAUGGGCGGAAGCCUGAUGCAGCAACGCCGCGUGCGGGAUGACGGCCUUCGGGUUGUAAACCGCUUUCGCCUGUGACGAAGCGUGAGUGACGGUAAUGGGUAAAGAAGCACCGGCUAACUACGUG
rnacentral:rRNA from 1 species